UGCCAGCCGCCGCGGUAAUACGGAGGGUGCAAGCGUUAAUCGGAAUUACUGGGCGUAAAGCGCGCGUAGGCGGUUUUGUAAGUCGGAUGUGAAAUCCCUGGGCUUAACCUGGGAACUGCAUUCGAUACUGCAUAACUAGAGUAUGGUAGAGGGAAGUGGAAUUUCCGGUGUAGCGGUGAAAUGCGUAGAUAUCGGAAGGAACACCAGUGGCGAAGGCAUUCUGCUGGUCAUUACCUGACGCUGAGGGACGAAAGCGUGGGGAGCGAACGGGAUUAGAUA
rnacentral:rRNA from 1 species